AAAACGGAGAGUUUGAUCCUGGCUCAGGAUGAACGCUGGCGGUAUGCUUAACACAUGCAAGUCGAACGGUGUCUUCGGACAUAGUGGCGGACGGGUGAGUAACGCGUGAGAAUCUAGCUUCAGGUC
rnacentral:rRNA from 1 species